GUAAUUUGAUUUCUUUUUAAUGUUUGUCCUUCAUUCUGAGAUUUAUAAUCUAUCUUGUCAGUGGCAGAUCCAAAGUGGGGCCCACUGACUGACCUAAGAGUGGGGCCCGCUUCAGUCAAGCUUCAGUGAUUCCCUAGACAAGCAACUAUUUUUUUUCCUAAAAAGGGGGGGGGGCGGCCCCCUGGGCUUCCCCUAAAUCCGCCUCUGAUUGUAUUACCUUAUUUUGUUUUCCACAGUUAUUCUUCUUACUUUUGCAUCCCAUUAUUCUCUAUUUUAAUUAUGAUCAAUUAUGUGUGCUUAUUUACAAAAUGUAUCUCCAAUUAUUAUGUUCAUAUUUAUUUUUUAAUUCAAUAAUUUGCUUAUAUUAAUU
rnacentral:lncRNA from 1 species